AUUGAACGCUGGCGGCAGGCCUAACACAUGCAAGUCGAACGAGUGGCGGACGGGUGAGUAAUGUCUGGGACACUGCCUGAUGGAGGGGGAUAACUACUGGAAACGGUAGCUAAUAUCGCAUACCAUGCGAUUUGCCCAGAGGGGAUUGGCUAGUUGGUGGGGUAACGGGUCACCAAGGCGACGAGCCCUAGCUGGUCUGAGAGGAUGACGCGCCACACGGGAAAUUGGACACGGCCCAGACUCCUAGGGGAGGCAGCAGGGGGGAAUAUUGCAAAAUGGGCGCAAGCCUGAUGCAGCAAGGCCGCGUGUAUGAAGAAGGCCUUCGGGUUGUAAAGUACUUUCAGCGGGGAGGCGUUACCCGCAGAAGAAGCACCGGCUAACUCCGUGCCAGCAGCCGCGGUAAUAC
rnacentral:rRNA from 1 species